rnacentral:rRNA from 1 species
GACGAACGCUGGCGGCGUGCUUAACACAUGCAAGUCGAACGGAAAGGCCCUGCUUUUGUGGGGUGCUCGAGUGGCGAACGUGUGAGUAACACGUGAGUAACCUGCCCUUGACUUUGGGAUAACUUCAGGAAACUGGGGCUAAUACCGGAUAGGAGCUCCUGCUGCAUGGUGGGGGUUGGAAAGUUUCGGCGGUUGGUGAUGGACUCGCGGCUUAUCAGCUUGUUGGUGGGGUAGUGGCUUACCAAGGCUUUGACGGGUAGCCGGCCUGUGAGGGUGACCGGCCACAUUGGGACUGAGAUACGGCACAGAAUACAACGGGAGGCAGCAGAGGGGAAUAUAGCACAAUGGGCGGAAGCAUGAUGCAGGAACGCCGCGUGCGGGAUGACGGCCUUCGGGUUGUAAACAGCUUUAGAGUGUGAAGAAGAGUGAGUGACGGUAAUGGGUAAAGAAGCACCGGCUAACUACGUG